GACAAACGCUGGCGGCGUGCUUAACACAUGCAAGUCGAACGAGAAGAGAUGAGAAGCUUGCUUCUUAUUGAUUCGAGUGGCAAACGGGUGAGUAACGCGUAAGCAACCUGCCCUUCAGAUGGGGGACAACAGCUGGAAACGGCUGCUAAUACCGAAUACGUUCUUUUUGUCGCAUGGCAGAGGGAAGAAAGGGGAGGCUCUUCGGAGCUUUCGCUGAAGGAGGGACUUGCGUCUGAUUAGCUAGUUGGAGGGUAACGGCCGACCAAGGCGACGAUCAGUAGCCGGUCUGAGAGGAUGAACGGCCACAUUGGGACUGAGACACGGCCCAGACUCCUACGGAGGCAGCAGUGGGGGAAUCGUUCCGCAAUGGACGAAAGUCUGACGGAGCAACGCCG
rnacentral:rRNA from 1 species